GUCCCAGUAGCUCAGCAGGUAGAGCACAUCCCUUUUAAGGAUGGGGUCCUGGGUUCGAAUCCCAGCUGAGACACCA
rnacentral:tRNA from 1 species